rnacentral:rRNA from 1 species
UAGUCAUAUGCUUGUCUCAAAGAUUAAGCCAUGCAUGUCUCAGUGUAAACUUUUAAACAGUGAAACUGCGAAUGGCUCAUUAAAACAGUCAUAAUUUAUGUGAAACUCUUUCUACAUGGAUAACCGUGGGAAUUCUAGGGCUAAUACAUGCGUACCCGCAAGGGUUGUGUUUAUUAGAUUAAAACCAUCACUGUAGCAAUACAGUUUCGUUGGAAUGAUAAUAACCGAUCGAAUCGCACGCGCAAGUGGCGAUAAUUCAUUCGAGUUUCUGACCUAU